UACAACAGGGCACGUGCACGAAUAUUUAACUCUAGUGGUUUUAACAGUGGUGCUAGUGGGAAACCAGAAGGUGAACCAAGAUUGCAAGAUGGGUCUCACCAUGGUUUAUUGGGUAUGUUGAAGACAGAGGAAAAACCUGUUUCUGGAAUUUCAGAUAUAAAUUCUGGUAGAGGUUCUAUUGAAUCUUCUACAAGUAGCAGUAGAUCUGCUAGAACUAGGACAGAGAAGGAGCCAAGUAGUAGGUACAAACCGAAUAAUAGGGUGGCCAUCUUUCGAGACCGUGAGGAAAGAUCCAGACUAUGACAGGAGCUAUGAUAGGUAUAUGCAAAGAUUUGAUCCUGGAUUUGGAUUCAACGGAGGACCUUACACCAUGCGGCCAAUGUACACUCCUGCAUUGAACUACAACACUGAAUUUCCACAACUUGGUUCCAGCCAUAGGCCACAAAUAUCCCCAGAACAUCAACCUCUACCUCUCCCUCAACAUUUACGUGGGCCAUGGGCUUCCCCAUCGACUCCUGCUGGAAUUGGAUAUGGUCAUCCAGAAACAAUGAUGCCACCAUUCAACCAAAAUCAUGUCGGUGCACACCCCUCUUCUGCCAUUUAUUUACAUUCCUCUCAGUAUCCAUGUCAGUGCCCGGGAAUGCCUUUUAUCCAACCUUUUUCACAGUCUCAUCAACAGCAACCUGAUGCAAGUUUUGGUUUAGCCCGGCCCCGAUGAGGGGCUUGGGCCAUGCCAAAACUUGCAUCAGGUUGCUGUUGAUG
rnacentral:misc_RNA from 1 species